AUUACUCAUCACUCUGAUUAUUGUGUGCCACUCUUCCCAGAGCCACUGAAGAGGCUUUUGAGUGCCUCGUUGAGUGGCAGCCUCGAGGAACUGAAAUCCAGAUCACUGAGCGUCCUUGGAACCUUCUGGCAUUAAGUAUCCAGAGAACUCCCCUGGCCAUCACGGUAGACACACAUCCCAUUGACCACAUGGCUGCCGGCUCCACCAGGAUUAGAACAACUGGCAUUUCUUCAGAGGAUGAAAAAGAUUCCAGCAAAUCUAAAUGGUACGUGGAUUGGAUUUUGGAGAGAAAACACACUGCUAGGUAAUCUUGGACAAGGGACUAUGCUUCUCUGAGCUUCAGAUGCCUCAUUUGUGAAAUGUGGAUUCCUGUGUCUACCCAUCAGGAUUCCCUUUUAUGAAUGAGAUAAUCUUUCUGCUAUGGCCUGGGAAAGCAGUAGAAGAUGGCCCAAGUCCAUGGGCCCCUGCACCCACACGGGAGACCCGGAAGAAACUCCUGGCUCCUGGCUUCAGAUCAGCACAGCUCCGGCUGUUGCGGCCAU